UACAGAGGGUGCGAGCGUUAAUCGGAGUUACUGGGCGUAAAGGGCGCGUAGGCGGUUAUAUAAGUGAGAUGUGAAAUCCCUGGGCUUAACCUAGGAACUGCAUCUCAUACUGUAUGACUGGAGUAUUGUAGAGGGUAGUGGAAUUUCCGGUGUAGCGGUGAAAUGCGUAGAGAUCGGAAGGAACACCAGUGGCGAAGGCGGCUACCUGGACAAAUACUGACGCUGAGGCGCGAGAGCGUGGGGGAGCAAAACAGGG
rnacentral:rRNA from 1 species